rnacentral:rRNA from 1 species
CGGAGUAAUACAUAAGCAACGUGCCCAGAAGACCGGGAUAGCCCCUCGAAAGAGGGAUUAAUACCGGAUGUGGCUAUCGGAUCACAUGUUUUGAUAAUUAAAACGAGUAAUCGGCUUCUGGAGCGGCUUGUGGCCUAUCAGCUUGUUGGUGAGGUAACGGCUCACCAAGGCUUCGACGGGUAGCGGGUCUGAGAGGACGAUCCGCCCGACUGGGACUGAGACACGGCCCAG